rnacentral:rRNA from 1 species
UACGUAGGGGGCUAGCGUUGUCCGGAAUCAUUGGGCGUAAAGCGCGCGUAGGCGGCCCGGGUAAGUCCGCUGUAAAAGUCAAAGGCUCAACCUUUGAAUGUCAGUGGAUACUGCCGGGCUAGAGUCCGGAAGAGGCGAGUGGAACUCCUGGUGUAGCGGUGGAAUGCGCAGAUAUCAGGAAGAACACCGACGGCGAAGGCAGCUCGCUGGGACGGUACUGACGCUGAGGCGCGAAAGCGUGGGGAGCGAACAGG